UCUAAGGUGGCAGCUUUAGGAAGGUGGCCAUUGGGUGCCUAUAUAAGGAAACAAUCCCCCCAAUUCUCUUCUGGACACUUGCAAUGAAAUCCAGUGGCAGAGCUGAGAGGGAGGGGGGUUAUGUUUUUCUUGCUCAGUUGCCUGCACAGACCUGCGAGUGAGCAGAGGGUUGGACAGAGGUCCAGCGUCUACGACAGCACCCUGGAUUUCAUAAUGGUCAACAAGGGCCAAAUAAAAGCAUGACCAUAAUUAUCUGAUCUGACUAAACUUGCUGACCAAUCAGUUGGAUUAGUUCAUGGAAGCCAAGUCUCAACAAUAACAAGUUGACCCCAAAGAUAUCAGUGGCUACCGCUGGUUAAUUCUGAUCUCCAUUUUGGAUGAUCGAUUACAAUGCAGAGUUAUCCAAAACUCUAGUAGGGUGCCCAGUUCAAGGGGUUAUGGACACUAACUUGGGUCAUGAAUGGAUGACUGGGCAUUUGGCCAACUUAAGAUCUAUUCAUGGGAAACCAAGGAAGAAAUCUGCUCUCUCAGCAUUGCUUCCCCUCUAAUCGCUGGCCAAAAAGUUACCUUUGUGACAAAGAUGAUGUUUUUGGUCUCAUGUGUGUCUUUCACCAUAACUUGGCUGUGGUGACAUUCCUCUGCCUUGCAGUAAUCGGCCAAGGUCUCCAGAGAUUCAUCAGACCAGCUGGAAAACAGGUCCAGGGAUCUAGGAGAAAAGAAACAUCCAAUCAGGCAAGUCAAUCUGAUCUACCGGGGGUGGUUACCAAAGUGAAGAACUAAGAUUCUCUGUCCUAAACCUAAACGAAAAAGCUGGGCAUUUCCUAAUAAAGUGACCUCUGUAGGCCAUGGAAGUAAACUUUCUUUGCAUUGAACACACCAGGAAAAAUCCAAUUAGCGGUCAGUCUUAAGGACUUGAAUGCUCUCUGUUUUGCUCACACACCUGAAGAGCUGAAACCUGUACUUUAACUCCUUCUGGAGCUCCUGGUCCAGUUUAUUCUUGAAGAAUUCCAUCCUGUCCACUACCAGGAACUCGGUCUCCUCCAUGCAGACAACUGUUGCAUUUCUUCUCAGGUUCUUCAGCAACGCAACUUCCUAAAGAAAUGCAAAGAGUAUGGUGCUCAGUUCCUCAGGCUUUUCAUUGGGCCACAGUUAGAUAAGUGUGGCUGUGUCAUACCCCAAAGCUGGCCCCCUUGUGAAGCAAGAUGGGUUCUGGAUCCAAAAGGGCGCUGCUGCCAUCUACAUCCUGGGUUACUGCAAUGACUCCAGAGAAGACAAAGUAGAAGCUGUCUCCUCGAUGUCCCUUUCGCACAAUGACUCUGCCCCUUCCAAACCUAGAGAAUCGAGCAGGAUGUUUUUUAACAGCUUAAAUUGUAAGUCUACUUUCCCAUUCAUAUUAGUCUCACUUGGCAUCUUCCUCUGGGUUACACAAUCCAAGCUCCCACCCAACACAAAGCUCCUGUAUGUCCUGUACUCUCCUAUUGCUGCUCUCUUUCUCAUGGUCAGUUUGUGGGCACGGCUUAAUUGCAACUAAAGGGUCUGUCCUGGGUUUUCCCACUGCACUGAUCUCUGACUGCCUUUUCUGGCCAGACUUCCAUCAGCCUGCUUUAAACUACCAUAAAGAACAAUGCAAUGGGAUAACCAUCGAGUGACCAUAGGAAAGAGAGCAGCCAAGGAUCAAGAAGUACAAAUAUACAGAACAUUGCACCGGGUUACAUGGGGCCCAGAUGACCAGUGUAAAGGUAGAAGUUGCCAUUUAUCACAUUCACUCACCUCCGGUAAUAGACGACUCGUGCCAACAUGAGCUGCAUUUGGGUGCUGUAUCUCCGGAAGCUGAGAAUUCCCAUCAUCAUGCUGCGGAUAAAGCGAAUGUCCUGCUCUGAUCUCUGCUCUGGCCGGCGUAGGGCCACCUCUAUGGCUUUUUCUGGGAAUGUAAACUGCAACAGGGAUUGUUAGUUCAGCACCACUCACCAGUGCCACUGGCAUAUUAUCUACUGCUAUAGUUAUAAAUGCACUCUUAAUAGUAUUAUUAUUAUGCUUCCUCAAACUAACUUUCGCUUGUUACUGCUGCAAACAACCAAAACCCCCCCCCAAAAAACAAAUAAAACAUAUUAAACAU